rnacentral:misc_RNA from 1 species
GAUGAAGAACGUAGCGAAAUGCGAUACUUGGUGUGAAUUGCAGAAUCCCGUGAACCAUCGAGUCUUUGAACGCAAGUUGCGCCCGAAGCCAUUAGGCCGAGGGCACGCCUGCCUGGGCGUCACACGUCGUUGCCCCCCCAUCUACUCCUUCGGGAUUGCGGGGGGCGGAUGAUGGCCUCCCGUGCGCCUCGCCGCGCGGUUGGCAUAAAUGCCAAGUCCUCGGCGACGCACGCCACGACAAUCGGUGGUUGCGAAACCUCGGUUGCCCGUCGUGUGCGGUCGUCGCGCAUCGAGGGCUCGAAAAAAUUGCCGGGUUCCGGCUCGGCUUUCAACGCGACCCCAGGUCAGGCAGGGUUACCCGCUGAAUUUAAGCAUAUCAAUAAGCGGAGGA